rnacentral:tRNA from 1 species
GGGACUGUGGCUCAGUGGCAGAGCGCUUGCCUAGCAUGCGUGAGGCCCUGGGUUCGUUUCCUGGCACCA